rnacentral:rRNA from 1 species
GACGAACCGAGCGAACGUUAUUCGGAAUCACUGGGCUUAAAGGGCGCGUAGGCGGGCGAUCAAGUCGAGGGUGAAAGCCCCCAGCUCAACUGGGGAAGUGCCUCCGAUACUGGUCGUCUCGAGGGGGAUAGGGGCGUGCGGAACUUCCGGUGGAGCGGUGAAAUGCGUAGAUAUCGGAAGGAACACCGGUGGCGAAAGCGGCGCGCUGGAUCCCUUCUGACGCUGAGGCGCGAAAGCCAGGGGAGCGAACGGG